GGCCAGGUGGCAGAGUGGUGAUGCAGCGGCCUGCAAAGCCGUGUACCUCGGUUCGAUUCCGGGCCUGGCCUCCA
rnacentral:tRNA from 1 species